UGUUGUUUUGAAUCCACAGCAUUGUGCCCUC
rnacentral:piRNA from 1 species